rnacentral:misc_RNA from 1 species
GAUGAAGAACGCAGUGAAAUGCGAUAAGUAAUGUGAAUUGCAGAAUUCAGUGAAUCAUCGAAUCUUUGAACGCACAUUGCGCCCGCCAGUAUUCUGGCGGGCAUGCCUGUUCGAGCGUCAUUUCAACCAUCAAGCCCCGGGCUUGUGUUGGGGACCUGCGGCUGCCGCAGGCCCUGAAAUGCAGUGGCGGGCUCGCUGUCACUCCGAGCGUAGUAAUACAUCUCGCUCUGGACGUGCUGCGGGUUCCGGCCGUUAAAAGCCUUAUUUACCCAAGGUUGACCUCGGAUCAGGUAGGAAGACCCGCUGAACUUAAGCAUAUCAAUAAGCGGAGGA